UCCCAGAAAGUUAAAGUGGCACGGGG
rnacentral:piRNA from 1 species